rnacentral:rRNA from 1 species
GACAGCUAGGAGGUUGGCUUAGAAGCAGCCACCCUUUAAAGAAAGCGUAAUAGCUCACUAGUCGAGUCGGCCUGCGCGGAAGAUGUAACGGGGCUCAAACCAGGCACCGAAGCUACGGGUAUCACCUCUGGUGAUGCGGUAGAGGAGCGUUCUGUAAGCCUGUGAAGGUGAGUUGAGAAGCUUGCUGGAGGUAUCAGAAGUGCGAAUGCUGACAUGAGUAACGACAAUGCGAGUGAAAAACUCGCACGCCGAAAG